rnacentral:rRNA from 1 species
AACGCUAGCGGCAGGCUUAACACAUGCAAGUCGAGGGGUAUUGGUUUUCGGACCAAGAGACCGGCGCACGGGUGCGUAACGCGUAUGCAAUCUACCUUUGCAGAGGGAUAGCCCAGAGAAAUUUGGAUUAAUACCUCAUAGUAUAGUACUUUGGCAUCAAGGAACCAUUAAAGUCACAACGGCAAAAGAUGAGCAUGCGUCCCAUUAGCUAGUUGGUAAGGUAACGGCUUACCAAGGCUACGAUGGGUAGGGGGUCCUGAGAGGGAGAUCCCCCACACUGGUACUGAGACACGGACCAGACUCCUACGGGAGGCAGCAGUGAGGAAUAUUGGACAAUGGGCGCAAGCCUGAUCCAGCCAUGCCGCGUGCAGGAUGACGGUCCUAUGGAUUGUAAACUGCUUUUAUACAGGAAGAAACACUCCGACGUGUCGGAGCUUGACGGUACUGUAAGAAUAAGGAUCGGCUAACUCCGUG